rnacentral:rRNA from 1 species
AUUGAACGCUGGCGGCAGGCCUAACACAUGCAAGUCGAGCGGUUGACGGGAGCUUGCUCCCUGAUUCAGCGGCGGACGGGUGAGUAAUGCCUAGGAAUCUGCCUAUUAGUGGGGGACAACGUUUCGAAAGGAACGCUAAUACCGCAUACGUCCUACGGGAGAAAGCAGGGGACCUUCGGGCCUUGCGCUAAUAGAUGAGCCUAGGUCGGAUUAGCUUGUUGGUGAGGUAAUGGCUCACCAAGGCGACGAUCCGUAACUGGUCUGAGAGGAUGAUCAGUCACACUGGAACUGAGACACGGUCCAGACUCCUACGGGAGGCAGCAGUGGGGAAUAUUGGACAAUGGGCGAAAGCCUGAUCCAGCCAUGCCGUGUGUGUGAAGAAGGUCUUCGGAUUGUAAAGCACCUUAAGUUGGGAGGAAGGGUUGUAGAUUAAUACUCUGCAAUUUUGACGUUACCGACAGAAUAAGCACCGACUAACUCUGUGCCAGCCGCCGCCGUAA